rnacentral:rRNA from 1 species
UACGUAGGGGGCAAGCGUUGUUCGGAAUCACUGGGCGUAAAGGGAGCGUAGGCGGAGAUGUAAGUUGGGAGUGAAAAUCACAGGCUCAACCUGUGACCUGCUUCCAAUACUGCGUUUCUUGAGUAUAGGAGAGGGCGAUGGAAUUCCAGGUGUAGCGGUGGAAUGCGUAGAUAUCUGGAAGAACACCAGUUGCGAAGGCGGUCGCCUGGCCUAAUACUGACGCUGAGGCUCGAAAGCUAGGGGAG